AGUGAACGCUGGCGGUAGGCCUAACACAUGCAAGUCGAACGGCAGCACAGUAAGAGCUUGCUCUUACGGGUGGCGAGUGGCGGACGGGUGCGGAAUACAUCGGAAUCUACUUUUUCGUGGGGGCUAACGUAGGGACACUUACGCUAAUACCGCAUACGACCUACGGGUGAAAGCAGGGGAUCUUCGGACCUUGCGCGAUUGAAUGAGCCGAUGUCGGAUUAGCUAGUUGGCGGGGUAAAGGCCCACCAAGGCGACGAUCCGUAGCUGGUCUGAGAGGAUGAUCAGCCACACUGGAACUGAGACACGGUCCAGACUCCUACGGGAGGCAGCAGUGGGGAAUAUUGGACAAUGGGCGCAAGCCUGAUCCAGCCAUACCGCGUGGGUGAAGAAGGCCUUCGGGUUGUAAAGCCCUUUUGUUGGGAAAGAAAAGCAGCAGGUUAAUACCCCGCUGUUCUGACGGUACCCAAAGAAUAAGCACCGGCUAACUUCGUG
rnacentral:rRNA from 1 species